UUUCAUUUAUUGCUCAAUUUUAAUAGCCCAAAGAACACAGUAUAUAAUAAAAAAUUCCCCCACUGACUAUUAAAUGCGCUACACCCAGUCCAGUAGGUGGCAGUAAUGACCCUUCAGUUGCCAACCGCCACUCAGUUUAGAAGCGCAGAAGAUUAGAACGUUAAGUUUGGGCGCGAAAGGACAACGACAGUGCCAGCGGGGUUUUAGAGGCCCAUUAGAGUGAUUUCCUGCGUUCUCUCACACAUGGUCAGCGAAUGGAUUAUCCAGUCACAGUACAUAAUGAAAGACUUGCCGAAGUUAGAAGAAGCUGAGUGAAUCUUCAGAGUGAUUCUUCAGAGAGAAGAUGUUAUGAUGUCUCACAAGAACCAAUGAAAUCUGGGAGACCUCAGAGUAUGUCCUUGCUGUGACUGUGCAAAAACAGCUAUGUUAUGCCCGUGAAUGGAUUGGUGUAUAAAAGGGCCUGCAGUGUUCAACAGUGUCUCUGUUUAAUGUGAAGUAAAUCCAUCACAUUUGCAUCAGAGGAGGAGCUUCAGUUACUGAAUAGUCCUAAACAAUGAACUGUGGUAAUGUUUCAAUUUCUAAAUGUUUCAAGAAGUACAGUUGUGUCUUUGAGUUUUGUAUGGUACCUGUAUCUGGUCAUUAAAAAUUUAAUUGAAUUGAAAUUGAAUUGCUUUUCCAAAUUCAUUUUGCUGAUGUAUGUUUAUGUUGUCUUAAUUUUCCAGAGUCCUCUAGUGGCAAUAAUAUUUAUAAUUUUAAUUUGUACUUUUGUAUUUUAUGGCAAAAAAAUUUGAAUCAUACAAUUGUAUUUUAAGAUAUAUAUACGUUUAACUUUGCUCGUGGUAUUUAAUUUCUUGAGUGUGAUGUAUCCUGUGUAAACUGUGUGGGUGUAUUGCAAGUUAGUGACUUUUUGGUUUAAAGUAUGUUAAUUGUAGCCCUACAUGGUCUCUGAUUUAAAAACUAGUCAAAACAGACUUGAUUUAGUAACAUUGAAUCCUGCAGUAGAUAAAGCUUGUUUUUUUAUAUUGCUUCAAUGUUGCUUUAUUGUUAAUUACACUAUUGAAAUGAUGUUCAAUAAACAUUGAUCUUAUAUCCAUCUUGAUUGAUUUUCCAUCAUUGAAAUAACAUUAUUCUAGGCUGCAAACCUGAUGAAAAAUCAAUGAAAAAUGUCAACGUUGUUUCAAUGAUAAUUUGGUUAAUGGCAUCAACAUCAAUUCUAUGUUGAUUCACUGUUGGUCUGCUACCUUAAGUGAUUGAAUUUAUGUUGAAUUAAGAUUGGUUUUGUAACCAUUUAGAUUGAUUUUGCAUCAUUGAAAUAACAUUAUUCCAGGGUGCAAACCUGAUGAAAAAUCAAUGUAAAAUUUCAAUGUUGAUUCAAUGAUAAUUUGGUUGAUGGAUUAACAUCAUUUCAAUGUUGAUUCACUGUUUGUCUGCUAU